rnacentral:rRNA from 1 species
GAUGAACGCUGGCGGCGUGCCUAAUACAUGCAAGUCGAGCGAACAGACGAGGAGCUUGCUCCUCUGACGUUAGCGGCGGACGGGUGAGUAACACGUGGAUAACCUACCUAUAAGACUGGGAUAACUUCGGGAAGCCGGAGCUAAUACCGGAUAAUAUAUUGAACCGCAUGGUUCAAUAGUGAAAGACGGUUUUGCUGUCACUUAUAGAUGGAUCCGCGCCGCAUUAGCUAGUUGGUAAGGUAACGGCUUACCAAGGCAACGAUGCGUAGCCGACCUGAGAGGGUGAUCGGCCACACUGGAACUGAGACACGGUCCAGACUCCUACGGGAGGCAGCAGUAGGGAAUCUUCCGCAAUGGGCGAAAGCUUGACGGAGCAACGCCGCGUGAGUGAUGAAGGUCUUCGGAUCGUAAAACUCUGUUAUUAGGGAAGAACAAAUGUGUAAGUAACUAUGUACGUCUUGACGGUACCUAAUCAGAAAGCCACGGCUAACUACGUG